rnacentral:rRNA from 1 species
CUACGGGCGGCUGCAGUGGGGAAUAUUGCACAAUGGGCGCAAGCCUGAUGCAGCAACGCCGCGUGAGGGAUGAAGGCCUUCGGGUUGUAAACCUCUUUUAGCAGGGAAGAAGCGAAAGUGACGGUACCUGCAGAAAAAGCACCGGCUAACUACGUGCCAGCAGCCGCGGUAAUACGUAGGGUGCAAGCGUUGUCCGGAAUGUGUGGGCGUAAAGAGCUCGUAGGCGGUUUGUCACGUCUGCUGUGAAAAUCCAAGGCUCAACCUUGGACUUGCAGUGGGUACGGGCAGGCUAGAGUGCGGUAGGGGAGAUGGGGAUUCCUGGUGUAGCGGUGGAAUGCGCAGAUAUCAGGAGGAACACCAAUGGCGAAGGCACAUCUCUGGGCCGUAACUGACGCUGAGGAGCGAAAGCGUGGGGAGCGAACAGGAUUAGAUACCCGCGUAGUC